GGAUUAAGAGCUUGCUCUUAUGAAGUUAGCGGCGGACGGGUGAGUAACACGUGGGUAACCUGCCCAUAAGACUGGGAUAACUCCGGGAAACCGGGGCUAAUACCGGAUAAUAUUUUGAACCGCAUGGUUCGAAAUUGAAAGGCGGCUUCGGCUGUCACUUAUGGAUGGACCCGCGUCGCAUUAGCUAGUUGGUGAGGUAACGGCUCACCAAGGCAACGAUGCGUACCCGACCUGAGAGGGUGAUCGGCCACACUGGGACUGAGACACGGCCCAUACUCCUACGGGAGGCAGCAGUAGGGAAUCUUCCGCAAUGGACGAAAGUCUGACGGAGCAACGCCGCGUGAGUGAUGAAGGCUUUCGGGUCGUAAAACUCUGUUGUUAGGGAAGAACAAGUGCUAGUUGAAUAAGCUGGCACCUUGACGGUACCUAACCAAAAAGCCACGGCUAACUACGUGCCACCAGCCGCGGUAAUACGUAGGUGGCAAGCGUUAUCCGGAAUUAUUGGGCGUAAAGCGCGCGCAGGUGGUUUCUUAAGUCUGAUGUGAAAGCCCACGGCUCAACCGGGGGAGGGUCAUUGGAAACUGGGAGACUUGAGUGCAGAAAAAGAAAGUGGGAAUUCCAUGUGUAGCGGGUGAAAUGCGUAGAGA
rnacentral:rRNA from 1 species